CAGUCGCCACGGGAAUACGAGGGGGGCAAGCGUUGUUCGGAAUUAUUGGGCGUAAGGGGUGCGUAGGCGGUUUGGUAAGUCUCGUGUGAAAUCUUCAGGCUCAACCUGAAGUCUGCACGAGAAACUGCCGGGCUUGAGUAUUGGAGAGGUGAGUGGAAUUCCAGGUGUAGCGGUGAAAUGCGUAGAUAUCUGGAGGAACAUCUGUGGCGAAGGCAAUCCCCUGGACCUGUACUGACGCUCAUGCACGAAAGCGUGGGGAGCAAACAGGAUUAGAUACCCCGGUAGUCCCUGUCUCUUAUAC
rnacentral:rRNA from 1 species